rnacentral:rRNA from 1 species
UGGGGAAUUUUGCACAAUGGGGGAAACCCUGAUGCAGCGACGCCGCGUGAUUUAGAAGGCCUUCGGGUUGUAAAAAUCUUUUGUAUGGGAAGAAAAUGACAGUACCAUACGAAUAAGGACCGGCUAAUUACGUGCCAGCAGCCGCGGUAAUACGUAAGGUCCGAGCGUUGUCCGGAAUCAUUGGGCGUAAAGAGCUUGUAGGCGGUUCGUCGCGUCUGGUGUGAAAGCCCAUCGCUUAACGGUGGGUUUGCGCCGGGUACGGGCGGGCUAGAGUGCAGUAGGGGAGACUGGAAUUCCCGGUGUAACGGUGGAAUGUGUAGAUAUCGGGAAGAACACCAAUGGCGAAGGCAGGUCUCUGGGCUGUUACUGACGCUGAGAAGCGAAAGCGUGGGGAGCGAACAGG